AGCUCCAAUAGCGUAUAUUAAAAUUGCUGCGGUUAAAAAACUCGUAGUUGGAUUUCUGCUGAGGACGACCGGUCCGCCCUCUGGGUGAGUAUCUGGCUUGGCCUUGGCAUCUUCUUGGAGAACGUAGCUGCACUUGACAGUGUGGUGCGGUAUCCUAGACUUUUACUUUGAGGAAAUUAGAGUGUUUCAAGCAGGCACACGCCUUGAAUACAUUAGCAUGGAAUAAUCAGAUAGGACCUUGGUUCUAUUUUGUUGGUUUCUAGAGCUGAGGUAAUGAUUAAUAGGGAUCGUUGGGGGCAUUUGUAUUUAACGGUCAGAAGUGAAAUUAUUGGAUUUGUUAAAGACGGACUACUGCGAAAGCAUUCGCCAAAAAGGUUUUCA
rnacentral:rRNA from 1 species